AACAGUUAUAUCAGUGAGAUUCAUCUGCAUUUCAGUUUUUUAUAACUAUAACUUUUCUGUAAAUUCUACUGUCUCCUUAGUAAUUCCUCCGAAGUCAUUAGUUUUAACAGGAAGAUUUAUGCAUUGCAAAAAUAACUGUGUUUUUCAAAAUGUCUUUAAAGACUUUUUUUUCAUGAAUAAAUUUAAGAAUUCUGCUUUAGUUUUUUUUCUUGUGUUUUUUUUAAAGUCUGCAAUUCUGAGAACAUCCUGACAGUCUGGCCUAGCAGUCCUGACCUAGAGAGGAAAAGCCAGUAGAAGCUCCAAAGAAUCUGAGCUCCCUUAGAUUCCUAAACCUUAUGUCUGUGACACCUAUAUGAAGAGGUAAUGAUUGGACUCACUGUGUACAGCAGGUAAAGUGAAAUGUCUGCCUCUCGAGAGAUGUUUCUUUAUGACUCCACUUAAUAGAUUCUAUAUGGACUGAAUGUCCCUGUGCACACAUGUGGUAUAUAAAACUUAACUGUACUGAAGAUUAUUUUUAUCAUUAAAAACAUUGUUUACUCUUGUUUAAAAAAAUUUUUUAAGCAAGGUCACACAGAGCAAAUAAUUUAUAUUGUGGGUCAUCAGGAAAUUAGGCUAAAAUAGCUAAUAAUUAUAACUAAUGAUUAAUUAUUCAAUUUAAAAUUGUUAACCCAAAAAUCUAAAUAACAAAAAAUAAUAGUGUAGCAGAUACUGUCAUCCCAUUGACCUCCUCUCAGCACUUCCCACUCAAUACAUGCAACUUUUAACCUGAGGAGUUUUUCUCAACCCCUCCAGGGCAGUCAAGAAGCACCAAGGACCCUGAGAGCAGUCUUCAACCAAUGACACUUGAAAACUGAAGGAUAAAUACAUAUGCCAAGUGUGGUAGGCUGAAGAAUAUCCUCUGAAGAUAUCAGGCCCUGAAACUGGUGAAUUUUGUGUUUUAGAGCCAAAGGUAUGAUUAAGGAUCUUGAGAUAAGGAGAUGAUUCUGGACUGUCCAGGUAGGCCCUAAAUGCGAUCACAUGUAUUCUUAGGGAAACUAGGCAGAGGGGGAUUUCACGCAGAUGGAAGAGGAGGAGACCUUGUGGCCACAGAAGCGGACAGUGCAGUGAUGUAACCACAAGUCAAGGAGAGCCAGCAGCCACCAGAAGCAGGAAGAGGCAAGGAGCAGACUGUCCCGUGGAGCCUCUGGAGGCAGGAUGGCCCUGCUGACUGCAUGAUUCCAAGGAUACUGAUUUCGAACUUUUGGCCUCUAGACCUGUGAGAGAAUAAGUUUUCAUUGUUUUCAGCUACCAAAUUUGUGGCGAUUGUCACAGUGACCACAGAACACUAAUAUACCAAUAUUUAUACCCAUAAGUACACCAAUGUCCUCACUUCUCAAAAGCAGAACAACUCUGAGGCAUCUUCUGUUGUCUCCAGGAGUCUGCAGCAGAGUUGAGCCCUACCUUUAGGGUUACCCACCCAUCAGCCUACUCUGUUAUUGACUUUCUCUUCUCAGUCUCGCUUGCUUAUUCUUCCAUCAGUGGUUCCAGGUCUCUCCUUCAAUACAAACCACAUACUCUCAAAUCCUUCUGUAUGAGUUUCUUGGAGUUGCUAUAACAAAGUACCAUAAACUGUGUGGCUUAUAACAAAAAAAAUUUAUUCUCACAGUUCUGGAGGCCAGAAGUUGGAAAUACAAUAAAGGUGUUGAUUCAGUUGGUUCCUCUUCAGGCCUCUGAGAAGUCUGUUUCAUGCUUCUUUCCUAGCUUUUGGUGAUGGCUGGCAAUUCAUGGCAUUCUCUGGUUUGUAAAUGCGUCUCUCCUAUCUCUGCCUCCAUCUUUACAUAGCAUUCUCCCCUGUCUCUGUGUCUUCAUGUGGCCAUCUUCCCCUCAUGUAAGAACACUAGUUAUAUUGGAUCAAGGACCCAGUUUCAUGACAUUAUCACAACUUGGUAACAUCUGUAAAGAUCCUAUGCCCAAAUAAAGUCACAUUUCUACAUACUGGGGAUAAGAAUUAUAACAUCUUUUGUAAGGCACAUACUUCAACUCAUAACACCUUGACUCAGUGUCAAAUAUGGGGACCCCUAACCUAAGACAAUUAUCACUUAAUAAGCAUUUUUAUUUCCAAAGCAUAAGCAUUUUUAUUUCCCUAAAUAUAAUUAUUUUUCUUCAGUAAUCUUAUGAUAUUGUGUCUAUUUCAAAGUUAAUAAAUCUGAGGAUUAGAUAUUAUGGUGUAGUCAAGUCUGUGUUUUACCAGGCAGGAAAUGUAAUAAGAUGCCAGUUCUACCAGUGGGAGUGGUUUUCAGCAAAAGAGAUCAAAUACCUUAAGCUUUUUCUUUUUUCCCCCCCUCAUCUGCAAUAUUAUAGAUCAGGAAACAAAGAGGGAUUUUCCUAGGGUUGUGAUAAUCUUUUCUAUUUGAGAUUUUGUUGAUAAAUUUAAUGUCUAAGACCUGAUGUUUCCUCUUUCUUUACUUGAAUUGUCUGUUCAGAGCCACUCUUGUUUAUUCAUUGCUUUCCAGAAUCUUUGGGGAAGGGGGAGUAGACUCCACACACAAAGUCAUGUCCAGUUUCUGAUAAUCCCUUUGGCAGCAAUAGUUGCUCACUCUCUGUACCAGCCUCUGCUAGGAGCUCUCUGUGAAAGAGUGUUCUACAAAACAAGGACACAUUGUCUCUGCCUCUAUUCUAAAGCUGCUGGUAAGUACCCUGCACAGGGAAGAGACCAUAAGAUGAAACUAACAUCUUAGAUACCUUGUAUAUCACAAUGUGCCCCGGCUUAUUCUAAUAUUCUCUACUUCAUCUUUCACCAAAGGCCAAGUCCUUUCUCUGAUUACAAGUUUGGAAAUACUUCCACUUACGGGCUUAUCCACAUAUAGUCCCAAAACCUGCUUAGGUGGCAUUUAUGCUUCUGAUUGCUUCCCUUCCUUUUAUAAGCUGAUACUGCUGAUUAUUAUUUUUUUAAUUAUUUAUUUGGCUGUACCCAGAGUUGUGGGCUUCCCAGGUGGCACUACUGGUAAAGAAUCUGCCUGCCAGUGCCUGAGACUCAAGAGACCUGCAUUCUAUUCCUGGGUCAGGAAGAUCCCCUGGAGAAGGAAAUGGCAACCCACUCUAGUAUUCUUGCCUAGAAAAUUCCAUGGACAGAAGAUCCUGGUGGGCUACAGUCCAUGGUGUCGUGAAGAGUCGGACACGACUGAGCACACACACACAUUCUACAUACCCCGUCUUAGUUGCAGCAGGUGGCAGCUUCUAUCUUCGUUUGCAGCUUGUGGGAUCUUUAGUUGAUUAGUUGCGGCAUUCGAACUCUUAGUUGUGACAUAUUGGGAUCUAGUUCCCUGACCAGGGAUCAAACUCAGGCCCCCUACAUUGAAAGCAUGGAGUCUUAGCCGCUGAAGCACCAGGGAAGUCUGUGUUGCUAAUAAUUAAAAUCCUCUCAGGUGAAUAAAU
ensembl:lncRNA